CACUUUGUACAUCUAACAAACAACACCAAACCUACUUAAGUUUUCAUGGAUUCCCGACUGAAAUGAGUCUAAGGAAGAAGUGGAUUCAAGCGGUUCGCCGGGAUGAAGGGCCAAACUUUAAAAUAAAACAAGUUAGCACGUUUGUUUGUAGCCGGCACUAGUGAAUCAGACUACAAACGCUACAGCUAGCAACCAACCGGGGUCACACCAAGCGACUGAAAAUCGGGUCUUUACCCUCCCGUUUCCAGUGGAACAACUGGGGACUGCCAAGAAGGGGGUCUGUUUAUAAAAGAGCAUCAACUCGCUUAGGCCAUGACGUUCACCCAUCCCUUCCUCUGGAGCAACCGCUGCCCUGUGAAUAAGAGCCGAUGGAGGAGAUCUCAGCUUCGGUGGUGAUGACAGAACAUGAUUUCGGUUCUGCUCCUAAACCAGGUGCACUGGAUGCUGCUGCUGUAAACAUACAGCAAUUGGAAGAAACAGUCAAGGCGCUGAUGAGAGCUGUCACAGCUGAAAGUGGUUCAAGUGCAUUUUCACAGAUUCUGUGUCUCAGACGCGGACAUCCUUUUUUACACCAGAUUCACGUCAAGAGAUGUUUUUUUGUGACUUCUGGGAGGUUAUUCAACCAUCUGCCUCCAAGUUGCUGCAGGCCUGCAAGGGAAGGUGCUGGCUGACAUGUUUCAGGUCAGUGUGUCCACUGUCUCCCAUGUUGUUAUACCGUGGGCCAACUACCGUUACCUGCUCCUUGGCUCCCUCCCCAUCUGGAUGAGUAAACUGCAAGUCAAGAACACCAUGCCAAGAUAAUUUGUGCAGUGCAGUCGAUGAUUACCCGAACAUCAUCUUACAAGAACACAACAACCUUUAAGGCCUUGAUUGGGAUUGCCC
ensembl:lncRNA